rnacentral:rRNA from 1 species
GAUGAACGCUGGCGGCGUGCUUAACACAUGCAAGUCGCACGGUGAAAGAGAGCUUGCUCUCUGGAUCAGUGGCGAACGCGUGAGUAACACGUGCGCAAUCUGCCCCUUACUCUGGCAUAAGCGCUGGAAGCGGCGUCUAAUACCGGAUACGAGCUGCGAAGGCAUCUUCAGCAGCUGGAACGAACUUCGGUCAGGGAUGAGCUCGCGGCCUAUCAGCUAGUUGGUGAGGUAAUGGCUCACCAAGGCGUGGACGGGUAGCCGGCCUGAGAGGGUGACCGGCCACACUUGGACUGAGACACGGCGCAGACUCCCACGGGAGGCAGCAGUGGGGAAUAUUGCACAACGGGCGCAAGCAGGAUGCAGCAACGCCGGGUGAGGGACGACGGCCUUCGGUUUGUAAACCUCUUUUAGCAGGGAAGACGCGAAAGUGACGGUACCUGCAGAAGAAGCACCGGCUAACUACGUGCCAGCCGCCGCCGUAAUAC